ACGCUCGACACCUACGGGGGCAGCAGUGGGGAAUAUUGCACAAUGGGGGAAACCCGUGAUGCAGCGACGCCGCGUGAGCGAAGAAGUAUCUCGGUAUGUAAAGCUCUAUCAGCAGGGAAGAAGAUGACGGUACCUGACUAAGAAGCACCGGCUAAAUACGUGCCGCAGCCGCCGGUAAGUACUGAGCGGGCCGUGGCGAAGGACG
rnacentral:rRNA from 1 species